AGCAGCUUCAGCUCCCUUCGCGCAUCCCGCUUGUCCCGCCGCAGCUGCCUCUCUAUCUCGGCGUUGAUUCUCUUGGAUUCUUUCGCCUCUUCGCUAAGGCAGCACGCCAUGAUAGAGUCGAGAGUCAUGAAGCCUGAGGCAAUCUGACAAGAAAAUUUUAUGCCGCUCUGUUCACUAUGAACCCAUAUACCAAGUCAACGUACUGAUCAUGCUUUAUUAGCAACAUUUCCACUGUCAUUUCUCUAUUUGAAGAGCCAUUCACAAUUUCUUCUGGCUGCUGAUCAAGACAAAUAUUUUAACCUGAGGCCUGACUGAAUCACUUAUGCCACUAUACAGUAUCUGCAAGAUCCUACAACAUUCACAGAUGGGAGUUUGGAUUACUCUGCCCUUACAUAACUUUGAGGAUGUGGACAUAAAGGAUAAGUACUGAGUGCUUCAAAAGCACACAAGGGAUCCUUGAGGAAGAAGGCCUCCAAGUGCCAACAUCCCAACAAAUUCAGGCAAUCAUGUCCACACCGGCUCUGAAUGGCAGUGUAUUUGUGGGUUCAACAAAGCAGUGUGAAGAUUUACAGAAUUGAAUCCGGGCAUGCUCUGGUCUCCCUGAAGAAGUCACACUAACUCUUAACUUCCUUGCCUCUGAUGUUUCUCAUCAGCUGCCACAGAUCUAUGCCAUGCUUCACAAUUUUCUGCUUAUAGCUGCUUUCUUGAGAUUUUAAACUCAUUGUACUUUUGCAGGAAUUAUUUUUUUCCAACGCUGACAAUAAACAGUGUAUGCACAUUCACUUGCUAAUACAGCUGGCUUUCCAAAUGUGCAUGGCCUCAUAGAUUCACUUGUGUCUCAUGUGGCACCAUUAACUUCAUGAUAGUCGAUGCCACCCUUCCAGUGACUCAUUCAUUCCAGGUCAGUCUAAGCUGCUACCUGCAUGGAUAGAUAUGAGGAGACAAGGGUUAUUUUCUUCUGCAAUGAAUCCCCAAACUGAAAAGAGCUCCAUGUUCUCAAGCAGAGCAAAGAUACAUUAGGAGCUAUGCUGCAACAUUUAGCCAAGAGAAGGACUCCAUAGAUAUGAUGAAGGUUGGCUUCAGUUCUCUUCAACAGUUGUGGGUAGCUUUUGAGCCCUGAUCCAAAUGAGCCUGCUAGGUGCUGCAUAACUUAGCCACCAACAGAACAGAAUCCUUGGAGGAUGGAGUGCGAGAGAAAGAAAAGUAUACUGCAGAAGAGGAGGAAGAGCCAAAACAGCACACAGUGGUCUCAGCUGAUGUCGGGGAGAAAGACAACAGAAGAAGGUGAUGGAGGGAAUGGUCUAUGGUAGAACAGCUGUUGGACAACCUAUUCUGUCACCUCACAGGGAGAAAGUCACUAAGAAUGCUUCUCCCCCACCUUGACCCUCCAUAUAACCAAAUUUAUUAGCCUUAAAAUUAGAGUAGAAUAAAUUACAUUCCAGCAAUGUAGAAGAUGUCCUGGAUGCCUCCUGUCCACAAAAAGCAGAACAAUAUGAAUCCAGUAAUAACGACCCAAUUGGACAGUCUCAAUCAACAAAAAAGUAAUGGAAGUUGUCAUUGACAGCACUCUCAGAAAGUAUUUACUGCCUAAUAAUUUGCUCACUGAUGCUAUUUUGAAGUUCACUAGAAUCAUUCAGCUUCAGGUCUCAUCCCAACACUGGUCCAAACGUGAAGCAAAGAGCUGAAUUCCAGAAGUGAGGUGAAAGUGACUGUCCUUGCCAUCAAGGCAGUAUUUGACAGAAUCUGUCUAGUAAAGUCUCAUAAGGUCCAGCAAGUCUAGUAAAUCUGAAAUCAAUGGGCAUCAAGUUGAAAACUGGUUGGAACCAUACCUCACAAACAAGAAGGUAAAAUAUUACGGCUACAAAAGCUGUGAGAGCCUGAGUAUCCUAUGGCAUGAACUACCUCCUGAUAGC